CAGCAACCACACCUACGGUCGACAGCGAUCUAACUCGCCCUGAGUUUCCAGUCUCAGACACAAUAUUAGGAUAUGGACAUGCUUGGUUUUCCGCGACAUAUCGUGGGUUUCGCAAAAUAUGGCACCAUGGAUGAAUAUUCUCAUAUCGAUCUGCUGUAUGGAUAUUUCCGGACAUAAAUGCAGGAAUUUAUGCAAAUGUCAAUGGUCCAUCCGUAUUGAAAUUGACGGGAUAUGCUCUGCAAACCAUUUUGUAUUACGUAAGUGAUAAACUUAUUGCGAAAGAACAAUGGCUCAGUGAAACAACAACUUGCGAAUUUCCACAGCCAUGGCAAGAUACGAAAAUGAACGCAACAUCAUCAGAGCCGUUUCGAAAGCUGCAGAAUCCAUCGGAAUACGUUGGCUAUUACGGGAAUAAUUUUCUUCCUGGCUUAAAUGUUUCAACAAAAUUGGGACAUAAUUCGUCGUUAUUAUUUCAAAUGAACAGACUUAAAGGAGCUCUUCGUUCUACACAUGACAAGGAUAGAUUUUUACUAGAAAUCACUUCACCUUGGGAAUACAGGCUCUUAUCAAAAGACGAUAACAAUGUUACAAUUAAGCUAAAUACAACGUUUCUGCGAAAUGAGAUAGGUGUGGUUACAUCUUUAGAAAUUCAAUAUUUGGUGAAGGUGGUAUUCACUAAAGGUGUAUCAGUCCUGAACGACCUGGUUUCUGGAACGACUGCUGGAUCCCGUCAAGACAAAUACUUAUCUUGGGGAUAAGGUUCUUUUCUCCUACAUGUGACUUCUACUAACCUGUAUUUAAACGGUGCCCGUUUUAUUGAAAUUGAGCCCAGCCAUUUAAACUCAGAGUGUGACUAUAAUAGCAUUGACUUAUAUACAAAUGUUCCAUUCUCAUUAGUGUUACAUGUGUGAACAGUAAAAUGAAUAUUGUUCUCUGUAAAAAAUAAGUAGCGCUGCUUUUACAACAAAACAUUAAUAAAUAAGAGUCAGGGAAAAUAAUCAAAUUAACUUAAACUAAGUACGUAAGCACGUGACAUUGUGACUUGUCAUAACAAUCUUUAGAUAAAUUCCUUGAUUUAUA